rnacentral:rRNA from 1 species
UGUUGGGUGAUACGAUUGGUUCGAGUGAUAGAUCGCUCAUAGCAGAGAGCAGUCGGUGUUGUGCAGCUGUGAUGCAACCAGCUUUGUUAGGCGCAUAUUUGACUGCGCGGGGGAGAGGUGAUGGUCUCACGUGUUUGAAAUUUUGUAGUUUUUUGGUGGAUGGAUAAGGAGUCAUUUGUGUAUUGCAUCCAUAAUCCAUGGUUCAAUGUAGGCCAUUUACCUGUCCCGUCUUGAAACACGGACCAAGGAGUCUAUCAUGUUUGCGAGUCAUUGGGCGUUACGAAACCCAAAGGCGAAGUGAAAGUAAAGGCCUACGUAGGUAGGUUUAGGCAGGAUCGUUGCACCCUCGGGUGUGAUGCGCACUGCCGACUCAUUGGAUAUUUUCAGUGAAGUCAGAGCAGACAUGAUGUAACCCGAAAGAUGGUGAACUAUGCUUGUGUAGGCUGAAGC